CAUUCUUGGGUAUCAAUCACAGUUUGAAAAUGAUGGCAUGAGUUGUUUUUUUAAAAAUAACUAUUGCUAUUAAUAGUAAUUUAUUAGACUUGUAUGCCACCUGACUCUCAAUGUCUCUGCUGACAGGUCCCUCAAGUAACCACACCUUGAAUUCCACCAAGAAGCAAAUUGGCAAUGUAAGUGGUGCAAGAAGCUGUCUACAUUACUGGUAAAUUCUUGAAAGGCCAUCUUUCUCAGGGCAAAGCAAUUUCACGGUUCCAAAAGAGAAGAAAAGAACCAGAUUACUGUUCUGAUGCAAUUUCAAGUUUCUUUUAUCCGACCAUCGUCUGCAUAGCGGCUCUGGCCUCUGUUCCUCAAGGUUAUUCCUUCUGCCCAUCACAUCCAUGUGGAAAUGAGAUUUCUUUGCCUGGUGCCCUUCCGACAGAGGCCCUGUUGACGGAGGGUUAGUCCCUGCAGAAAGCAAAGCCAAGCAGAUCUCAGAUAAUGGUGGAACAAUUAGCACCUAAUCUGAGACAGUGUUCUCAAGAUGCAUGAAUACUUUUGGAAAUACCAAGCACUGGAAGAAGAAGUGGUCAAACAAAGAAGUUGGAUUUGGAAUCAAAGCAUAGAAGUUAAAAACAUUUAUAGCCAAGAGAUCCCUAUGAAUAAAAACAAGCAGAGGAAUCCUCAGAAGUUGAAAAAUUCAAUUAUGUUUGAAUGUGCAGUCAAAGGUGUGUUUGAGAUUAAGCUGCACGAGAGAAAAAAAGGUAGCAGGUCUUGUCUUAUGUGGUUGUGCCUGCCAUUCUUGACUUUUGAGAUCCCUUUUGUGGAUGGUUCUGCAAACAAAAUAUCUGUACCCCUGGGCUUCUAACUGAAAAAGGCAUAAUGCAAAAGAAAAGAGAAGGUAAGGAAAAAUAGAAAAUUUGAAGAUUAAUUCUCACCCCAUAAAGGGCUGUGAUAAUAACCUUGAGGAAACAGAGGAAGAACUACAAUCAAAGCACCAGUCAGGUGAGAGAAGACAUAGUCCAAAGUAGAAAUGUAAUUUGAGAAAACGUCUCAGAUAUGACACUCCCUCAAAGGGCUGACACAUCAUGACCAAAUGUAAUGUAGAGGUCAGAUCGGUUUAUGGGAAAAUAGCUGGCAAUGUACAACUUCAGAAGCCCAUUGCAGGUGCCCAUUCUGUUGUUAUUCUCUUGAAUUUUCCCAUUGCCAGGUGAAAAAGGCAGGAAGACGACUGCAUGCAACAGUGUCUUCCUUGGUAUAGUCUGGCAUAGUCUGAUUUUUCCCAGCUGUAGCCUAUAAUUAUGGUUGAACUCAAAAGGUCGUCAUAAUCUCAGGCUCUUCUAGACACUUCCUAACUUUCUGUGUUGCAGGCUCCUCCUCCCUUUUGGUUUGUUUG